rnacentral:rRNA from 1 species
GGUUAAGCGACUAAGCGUACACGGUGGAUGCCCUGGCAGUCAGAGGCGAUGAAGGACGUGCUAAUCUGCGAAAAGCGUCGGUAAGGUGAUAUGAACCGUUAUAACCGGCGAUGUCCGAAUGGGGAAACCCAGUGUGAUUCGUCACACUAUCGUUAACUGAAUACAUAGGUUAACGAGGCGAACCGGGGGAACUGAAACAUCUAAGUACCCCGAGGAAAAGAAAUCAACCGAGAUUCCCCCAGUAGCGGCGAGCGAACGGGGAGCAGCCCAGAGUCUGAAUCAGCUUGUGUGUUAGUGGAACGGUCUGGAAAGUCCGACGGUACAGGGUGAUAGUCCCGUACACCAAAAUGCACAGGUUGUGAACUCGAAGAGUAGGGCGGGACACGUGGUAUCCUGUCUGAAUAUGGGGGGACCAUCCUCCAAGGCUAAAUACUCCUGACUGACCGAUAGUGAACCAGUACCGUGAGGGAAAGGCGAAAAGAACCCCGGCGAGGGGAGUGAAAAAGAACCUGAAACCGUGUACGUACAAGCAGUGGGAGCACCUUCGGGUGUGACUGCGUACCUUUUGUAUAAUGGGUCAGCGACUUAUAUUCUGUAGCAAGGUUAACCGUAUAGGGGAGCCGCAGGGAAACCGAGUCUUAACUGGGCGUUAAGUUGCAGGGUAUAGACCCGAAACCCGGUGAUCUAGCCAUGGGCAGGUUGAAGGUUGGGUAACACUAACUGGAGGACCGAACCGACUAAUGUUGAAAAAUUAGCGGAUGACUUGUGGCUGGGGGUGAAAGGCCAAUCAAACCGGGAGAUAGCUGGUUCUCCCCGAAAGCUAUUUAGGUAGCGCCUCGUGAACUCAUCUUCGGGGGUAGAGCACUGUUUCGGCUAGGGGGUCAUCCCGACUUACCAACCCGAUGCAAACUACGAAUACCGAAGAAUGUUAUCACGGGAGACACACGGCGGGUGCUAACGUCCGUCGUGAAGAGGGAAACAACCCAGACCGCCAGCUAAGGUCCCAAAGUCAUGGUUAAGUGGGAAACGAUGUGGGAAGGCACAGACAGCCAGGAUGUUGGCUUAGAAGCAGCCAUCAUUUAAAGAAAGCGUAAUAGCUCACUGGUCGAGUCGGCCUGCGCGGAAGAUGUAACGGGGCUAAACCAUGCACCGAAGCUGCGGCAGCGACACUAUGUGUUGUUGGGUAGGGGAGCGUUCUGUAAGCCUGCGAAGGUGUGCUGUGAGGCAUGCUGGAGGUAUCAGAAGUGCGAAUGCUGACAUAAGUAACGAUAAAGCGGGUGAAAAGCCCGCUCGCCGGAAGACCAAGGGUUCCUGUCCAACGUUAAUCGGGGCAGGGUGAGUCGACCCCUAAGGCGAGGCCGAAAGGCGUAGUCGAUGGGAAACAGGUUAAUAUUCCUGUACUUGGUGUUACUGCGAAGGGGGGACGGAGAAGGCUAUGUUAGCCGGGCGACGGUUGUCCCGGUUUAAGCAUGUAGGCUGGUUGUCCAGGCAAAUCCGGAUAAUCAAGGCUGAGGUGUGAUGACGAGGCACUACGGUGCUGAAGUAACAAAUGCCCUGCUUCCAGGAAAAGCCUCUAAGCAUCAGGUAACAUCAAAUCGUACCCCAAACCGACACAGGUGGUCAGGUAGAGAAUACCAAGGCGCUUGAGAGAACUCGGGUGAAGGAACUAGGCAAAAUGGUGCCGUAACUUCGGGAGAAGGCACGCUGGUGUGUAGGUGAAGUCCCUGCGGAUGGAGCUGAGACCAGUCGAAGAUACCAGCUGGCUGCAACUGUUUAUUAAAAACACAGCACUGUGCAAACACGAAAGUGGACGUAUACGGUGUGACGCCUGCCCGGUGCCGGAAGGUUAAUUGAUGGGGUUAUCCGUAAGGAGAAGCUCUUGAUCGAAGCCCCGGUAAACGGCGGCCGUAACUAUAACGGUCCUAAGGUAGCGAAAUUCCUUGUCGGGUAAGUUCCGACCUGCACGAAUGGCGUAAUGAUGGCCAGGCUGUCUCCACCCGAGACUCAGUGAAAUUGAACUCGCUGUGAAGAUGCAGUGUACCCGCGGCAAGACGGAAAGACCCCGUGAACCUUUACUAUAGCUUGACACUGAACAUUGAGCCUUGAUGUGUAGGAUAGGUGGGAGGCUUUGAAGCGUGGACGCCAGUCUGCGUGGAGCCAACCUUGAAAUACCACCCUUUAAUGUUUGAUGUUCUAACGUUGGCCCCUUACCGGGGUUGCGGACAGUGUCUGGUGGGUAGUUUGACUGGGGCGGUCUCCUCCCAAAGCGUAACGGAGGAGCACGAAGGUUAGCUAAUCCUGGUCGGACAUCAGGAGGUUAGUGCAAUGGCAUAAGCUAGCUUGACUGCGAGCGUGACGGCGCGAGCAGGUGCGAAAGCAGGUCAUAGUGAUCCGGUGGUUCUGAAUGGAAGGGCCAUCGCUCAACGGAUAAAAGGUACUCCGGGGAUAACAGGCUGAUACCGCCCAAGAGUUCAUAUCGACGGCGGUGUUUGGCACCUCGAUGUCGGCUCAUCACAUCCUGGGGCUGAAGUAGGUCCCAAGGGUAUGGCUGUUCGCCAUUUAAAGUGGUACGCGAGCUGGGUUUAGAACGUCGUGAGACAGUUCGGUCCCUAUCUGCCGUGGGCGCUGGAGAAUUGAGGGGGGCUGCUCCUAGUACGAGAGGACCGGAGUGGACGCAUCACUGGUGUUCGGGUUGUCAUGCCAAUGGCACUGCCCGGUAGCUAAAUGCGGAAGAGAUAAGUGCUGAAAGCAUCUAAGCACGAAACUUGCCCCGAGAUGAGUUCUCCCUGAGACUUUAAGUCUCCUGAAGGAACGUUGAAGACGACGACGUUGAUAGGCCGGGUGUGUAAGCGCAGCGAUGCGUUGAGCUAACCGGUACUAAUGAACCGUGAGGCUUAACCUUACAACGCCGAAGAUGUUUUG